rnacentral:rRNA from 1 species
GACGAACGCUGGCGGCGUGCUUAACACAUGCAAGUCGAACGGUGAACCUCUUCGGAGGGGAUCAGUGGCGAACGGGUGAGUAACACGUGGGCAACCUGCCCCCGGCUCUGGGAUAACUCCAAGAAAUUGGGGCUAAUACCGGAUGUUCACCGCUUCUCGCAUGGGUGGUGGUGGAAAGGGUUUCCGGCUGGGGGUGGGCCCGCGGCCUAUCAGCUUGUUGGUGGGGUAGUGGCCUACCAAGGCGACGUCGGGUAGCCGGCCUGGGAGGGUGACCGGCCACACUGGGACUGAGACACGGCCCAGACUCCUACGGGAGGCAGCAGUGGGGAAUAUUGCGCAGUGGGCGGAAGCCUGACGCAGCGACGCCGCGUGGGGGAUGACGGCCUUCGAGUUGUAAACCUCUUUCAGCAGGGACGAAGCGCAAGUGACGGUACCUGCAGAAGAAGCACCGGCCAACUACGUG